UCUCUUUUCUCGAGUUUCGUAGUGAGCCUAGGAUACAGAGUUGUAUGGCCGAAGGCAGAUGUAGACCUCUUGGGAUGCUACAGCUAUCAUGGCAAGAAAUUUUUCCAGUCAGAUAUUCGAAUGAGAUCUGAGAGCUCAAUGAAAUGUUAUACUUAUUUUGCAAAUGGAAAACCACAACCUCAAGAAACUACAGCCAAGCAAGAUCAGAAAGUACUUCACACAGAGGACAAGAAGCAACCUUUCUAAGAGGAUAAAGUCAACAAGUGAAGUCAGAAUUGUGUGUUCCUGAGUUUGUUUGUUUAAGUCAUGAUGCAGCUGCCAGGAUGAUGAGUUAUUGGCUGCCAAUGCAGUGUGCAAAUGCACUUUCCAACCCACCAGCCUGUUAGGAGCUGCAGCUACCACAAGGCCUUCCCUCAGCCUCCUCUGCAAUGGAAUGAACGAAGCCAGGGACCUCAGCUGCUCCUCAUACUUCUUGUUCUCCAGACUCUUCACCAUCCUGGUUGUUCUCCUUUGGAACUGCUCUACAUGUUUUAUGUCUUUCCUAUAUUGUGGAACCCCAAAAUUUGCCAGCAAUGUGAACACGUGGAGUGGUAUUCACUUGUCAUUUGAAUGACCAUCUCAUGACUAGCUUAAAGGUUUUCUUUCUUUUGUCUUACUUCCUCAGCAGCUCCUUCCCACUGCCUCAGCAGGUGAGGAAUUGCAGUGAAUAGGCCAGAAGCACAUCUUGUGGGGAGAUAAAAGGACAACUGUUGCUGAUACUGCUGCUGCAAAAUGAAGGCAUUAUUUCUGUGCCCUCUUUCACUUGUUCUCUCAGCUUCUGGUUCCUGAACCUUGUGGUUAUGAGCUGCCUCAGCUGUGUCACGUGCAGCCCAUUUUCCUCCCUAUUUUGCUCCACUGGAACUCAUUUGGCUCUUCACUGGGGUGGUUUAACUCACUAAGUCUGUACAAAACUGCUGCUGUUCUUUAAUCAACUUCAUUUUAUGCUGAGCUGGUGAGUUAGUGCUUACAACAGUGUUGGAUAUCAGUACUACCCUGAUAGGAAGCAUCUUUGACAUACUGGUUAUGCAUUAACACUGAACUUAAAAGUGUAUUCAAUGACUGGAGAGACUCUUCCCUCACAUGUGUAACAAGGAACUUCAAUAAAUGGCUAAAUAAGUUA